rnacentral:rRNA from 1 species
UACGUAGGGGCCUAGCGUUGUCCGGAAUCAUUGGGCGUAAAGAGCUCGUAGGUGGUUCGGCAAGUCACGUGUGAAAUCUCCACGCUUAACGUGGAGGCGCCACGUGAAACUGCCGUGACUCGAGUCCGGUAGGGGAGUGUGGAAUUCCCGGUGUAGCGGUGAAAUGCGCAGAUAUCGGGAGGAACACCAGUGGCGAAGGCGACUCUCUGGUCUGUAACUGACGCUGAGGCGACGAAAGCGUGGGGAGCAAACAGGG